UGGAUAGGAGAGAGGAGAGGGGCCUCAACCCACACAAUAGUCUAUUUAAACCUCUGGGAGACCCCUCCAUUUUGUCUUCAGCUGGCUCAAGCGAUAGCUUCUCCACCCCCAAAGGAUACCUGAAAGAAAUUGGAACAAAGGACAGUAACCACGGGGGUGUAGGUGAUUGCUGGACCGAGACUAGGAGGAGGCUAGUCUGUAAAAGAAGUUUACUGGAACAUCUCUGAGGUUAUGCCUGGGGGAGCCCCAUUCCUGGACCAGGAACCCAUCACAUAAGACACAAAUCUUGCUUCCCUCAUUGCAGAGCCCAAGAAUGCAGCUACGAAGCAGCUGGAUUGCCUGUACUUAUGCUGGGUUGGAGAGAAGUUAGAAAUGUUUGAGGAAGCAGUAUGGAUUUCUCUGGUUUGGAUUUGCUAUCUACUGAUCCUGCACAGGAGAAGUGGUAACCUAGAGGGAGCAAAACUAUCAGACAAGGAAGCACUGACUGAAGGGAUCCUCAUGCCAAGGCUGUUCUGCCUCCAAGCAGGCAAAGCACAGGAGUUGAAAGUUCAGCUUUACAGGAAUUCAUCGGAUCCAAAAGAAAAAAAACCACCAUCCAAAAGCCAGUUCCGACAUGUAAGGAUUUGAAGCAUUAAUGAUUUCAAAAGAAGGAUCAAUUCUUGUUUCAGGUAUCCAAAAGAAACAAUAAUCAGAGCCAAGGGCGAUUUUUGAUUUAAGAAGUCAUAAAAAUUUAAUCCUUUCCUUGGUUGAAUUAUGAAGCUAUGGGCAGUUCUCUUCACAUCUCAUCCUCCUCAGUUUAUUUGGCAAGAACCAUUUUUGCCAGGUGCAAGGGACUAAAAAGCAGUUCCCUUUGCUCACAGGCAAAAGGUCACAAGUGCUUCUGAACGAGAUUUCCAUUGCUUCUCUCUUGGUUGCUGAUGCCUCCCUGGAUAACAGUCACAUUUUGUCUGGAACUAUGGCAGCCAACGCAGUUCCCAGAAGGUACCUUUGGUUGACCACAUGGAAAGCUGAUUCUCAGGCAAAACAAUUAGUGGCGACUGCUUUCCUCGAGGGAGGCAGAGUUUUUGGCACAUCUCACAACUAAGGAGUCACCCAGAACUCAGGCAAUACAAAAAUCCCUUCCUUCUUUGUCGCCGUGCAAACCUCAAAGGAGCGAAUGGAGGUCUUCAUAUCAUGAAGAACAGAAUUGCUUUGUAUGCUGACCAUCGCUCUGAACAUCAAACAUACUGCACUUUCUCCCAACGGAGAUUUAGAUCCAAAGGCUGCAUAAACAAUGCAUGCAAUCAAGGGACAGAACUAAGGUUUCAUGCAAAAGCUUAAAUCUGGCCUUUCCUAACUUUUGAGUGUUUGAUUUCUCAAUCUUAAUAAUAUUCUUUUAACAUAGGUGCCUUAUAGGAUAUUUGUCAUUCAUAUACAUGCAAUUUGGGUCAAUUUGUGACAUUAGCCACUAAACAGUUGUCAAAGAAUGUUGGAAGCUUUCCUCUCAUAGGGCCCAUUUGUAUAUCUUGCACCCAUGUUAGUGAGCAUAUAGCUGAGUAGUCUCAUUAAAUUAAGUGGAACUGCUCACAUGCGAAAAAAUACACUGAUGUGAGAAAGGCUUGCAUAUUUGGGUUUUUAACCCACAUAUGAAUUCUGUAGGUAUCUGUUUUAUCAAACUGAGUUUUUAUCCAGUAUGCCUUUUGGAAUCUUUAAAAUCUGUUGCAUAGUUAUUUUUAAUUUAAUUUAAUUAACUUAUUUUAACACCGUAUUCUCUCGCCUGUUAAUUUUGUUGAUUUGCAUAUAUAGUGCACCCGCAAUAGUCAUCUCAGCAUGCUAUACAGCACAGAUGUGUAAGAAAGAUGCAAACCCUAAGGAAUUUGCAGUCUUAUUCCAAUACACACCUCAUUGGUGUAAUUCUAAUGGUCACAAAUACAAUGGUCUUUAAUACACUUAAAAAUAGGCAGCAGAGAUUUGCAGGUAUAAAUCAUCAUUCAUCCAAAUUACCUCAUUUUUGGAAUCAAGUCAAGUCAAACUUCUAUUGCUCCUUUUUAUUUUAAUUCAAUGGUUUGAAUAAUGUUGGCGCCUUAAUAUACAGUUAUAGACAAGCUAAUACUAUUAUAUGGUUUACAUUUGUUUUUGCUUCCCACUGUUGAAUGAACAAUCAAGUGUUUUUUACGGAUUAGCAGCAGUUGUAAAGUGUUCUGAUUUUCUCUUCCUUUCAAGCUAAGGAGUGAGAAGCAAGUUAUAUUGGUUGCUUUGGCAUUUUUGGAGUAGCUGAGGCAUUCACAGUGCAAACCACUGUUAUUCAUACUGUUAUAAUUCCUUUGCAGUUAAGUCAUUACUAGCAAUCAGAGCAGGCUUGUAGUACAAUACCUUAUUUGGGAAUGUCAUGUGAGAUGCCCAGAGCAAUAUGAAAAAAUAAAGGCCAACUUGUCUGGCUGUGGAGGGAUUUAUAACAAGGCCACUGGCAGAGAUCUGUUGGGAAGUAUUACGAGCUCCUGCUCAUUUGAUCAUAUAAACACCAAAGCCAGCAGGUGCAUUACAUUUGUACACUGUCUUUUUCCUUCAGGUGUGGUAUUAAAAAUUGGGUUGUUGCAACAUGUUUAUAGAAACUUGAAUUAUAAUGUCGUCUUUCUGCAGAUGGUGGAGCUAAAGUUUUUCAUCAGAUGAACAUGAAAAUCCUAUAAAACCACUUAACACUUUAUUUUUGCUUUUUUUUUUUUUUUACAAAUGGAAAUACAUUACUAAAAGAACACAUCUGCUCCUGAUAAUGUUUUUUCUCUGAGCAUAUUAGGAAAUCUACCCUUGAUUACAUCCAUAAUAGAAAUAUAUAAUACUCAGGUGUUAAAGAUUACAUUUGAAGGUGUUUGUUUUUAAACAGCUGGACCCUACUAGGAUGCCCUGAAUCUGAGCUCCUGUUCGAUUUGAUUCAAAUCUUAACUUGUGACUCAAGUUCAUCACUCUUUUUUUUUUAAAUAACUGUUUCACAUGAAAAGCCUUUUUAGUUACAUGAAAAUUUGAGUGUACUUCCUAUUUACAAGUUGGUAAUAAUAAUCAUAUCAUGGGGUAAGCAAACUUUGACAUCAAUGGAUGAAAUGUUUCUAGCACAGAGAAGAGUUAUAAUGAAGUUAUCAAGAAUUCUCUGUAAGUUGUUAUUACUCUACGCAAAAAGCUGUGCUGAUAUAAUAAACUUGAGACCGCUGAGCACUCAGGUCAGGAAAUAGCAAUAUUAACUUUUUGUUCCAUAUGCAUUACUUGUACAGUCUUUAAAUACACUAUAAAAUAUGACUGCAUAAGUACAAGGCCUGUUCUUUCUUUCUUUCUGCAUUCGGCUGUUAUGGGCCUUGUAACAAAAUGUGGAGGAGGAGAAGGAAGAGAAGAAAAGGAGGAGGAGAAGAAAGCUCAUAAGGAAGGACUCAGGAUAAAGAGAGAGAAUGAUCCAGUAAAUAAGCCAAAAGUGCAGCUGUAGCCCAGACAUUUUGAAAUCUAAUGAUAAAGUGAAAGAUGCUGAGAGUGGGCAGAUGCUGUAUCAACUUCUCCACAGAGCUCAGGAGAGGUGCAUUGUUCCUGACUUAUACCCUGGCAUGUUUCAUGCACAGGUCCCCAACUCUGCAGAGCAGCUAUUGUGGGAUAGCGAGAGAGAGAGAGAGAGAGAUGAAAUGGUGUCACAGAGGUCGAGCUGUUUUCUUACACACUGCUGAUGAAGGAUUGACUAGGUCUUUGGGCCUCCUGCUUGCCAAGAUCUAGGGUCAAAUACUCUAAAAUCUGCAGGAGAGGGGAAAGUACUGCAGAUUUGUGCAAGUAACCUCUGAGAAGACCCUGAUAUCGUUCCCGAGAUGGAAGCAUUAGUUCCAGUGUGUGGUAUCCGGAGAACCUGGGCUAUCGUUAUCCUAGGUCCCUACAAUCUGAUCUUUUAACACAAUUUUUUUGGGUUGCAAUUUCCUAAGUUUUUACAGAAGAAAACUAGAGAAAACAGACAUUCCAUCAGAUGGAAUCAUAUUGACUAUCCCACUAUGGUCACCUGUAGGGUUGGGAUCUUUAGAUCCACAGCUCAGACAUCUUCCACUGGAGCUGAGUAACUGGGGAUGUUUGGUCACCAUCAGUACAGGUGACCAUCACAGGCGACCAUGCAGAGUCCACCAUCACAAGAGAUCACGCAGUCCCAGAUUUGCAGACGAGCUCCAGCGUGGUCCGAAUGAGAGGUGCAAAUGUUUCAACGCGGCCCCUAUCUACUCCAUCCCAGAGACUGGUCCAGAUUAGAAGGUGGAAAAAUGAACUCGGGACGACAUGUUCGCUGAGCUCAUGCAGUCCUCCCGCACUGAUAGGGCCCAGCUGAAUGCAUGGAGGCAAACAAUUGCGGAGUCCCAUAAA